rnacentral:rRNA from 1 species
CCUACGGGUGGCUGCAGUGAGGAAUAUUGGUCAAUGGGCGCGAGCCUGAACCAGCCAAGUAGCGUGAAGGAUGACUGCCCUACGGGUUGUAAACUUCUUUUAUAAAGGAAUAAAGUGAGGCACGUGUGCCUUUUUGUAUGUACUUUAUGAAUAAGGAUCGGCUAACUACGUGCCAGCAGCCGCGGUAAUACGGAGGAUCCGAGCGUUAUCCGGAUUUAUUGGGUUUACAGGGAGCGGAGAUGGGUUGUUAAGGCAGUUGUGAAAGUUUGCGGCUCAACCGGAAAAUUGAAAUUGAUACUGGCAGUCUUGUGUCCAGUUGAGGUAGGCGGAAUUCGUGGUGUAGCGGU